rnacentral:rRNA from 1 species
AUUGAACGCUGGCGGCAGGCCUAACACAUGCAAGUCGAGCGCGCGGCGGACGGGUGAGUAAUGUCUGGGAAACUGCCUGUUAGCGGGGGAUAACAACUGGAAACGGUGGCGAAUACCGCGCACAAUCUGAUGUGGCCAGAUGGGAUUGGCUCGUAGGGGGGGUAACGGCUCACCUAGGCGACGAUCCCUCUCUGGUCUGAGAGGAUGACCAGCCACACUGGAACUGAGACACGGUCCAGACUCCUACGGGAGGCAGCAGUGGGGAAUAUUGCACAAUGGGCGCAAGCCUGAUGCAGCCAUGCCGCGUGUGUGAAGAAGGCCUUCGGGUUGUAAAGCACUUUCAGCGGGGAGGCGUUACCCGCAGAAGAAGCACCGGCUAACUCCGUGCCAGCAGCCGCGGUAAUAC